rnacentral:rRNA from 1 species
CAUCCCGCGUGCAGGAUGACGGCCCUAUGGGUUGUAAACUGCUUUUCCAUACCAAGAAAGGUUGCUACGAGUAGCAAAUUGACGGUAGUGUGGGAAUAAGCAUCGGCUAACUCCGUGCCAGCAGCCGCGGUAAUACGGAGGAUGCAAGCGUUAUCCGGAUUCAUUGGGUUUAAAGGGUGCGCAGGCGGGCUUGUAAGUCAGUGGUGAAAUACUGCCGCUCAACGGUAGAACUGCCAUUGAUACUGCGAGCCUUGAAUAUGGUUGAGGUAGGCGGAAUGUGUUGUGUAGCGGUGAAAUGCAUAGAUAUGACACAGAACGCCGAUUGCGAAGGCAGCUUACUAAGCCAUUAUUGACGCUGAGGCACGAAAGCGUGGGGAGCGAACAGGAUUAGAUACCCUGGUAGUCCACGCCGUAAACGAUGUUCACUCGCUGUCUGCGAUACACAGUAGGCGGCUGAGCGAAAGCAUUAAGUGAACCACCUGGGGAGUACGAUCGCAAGGUUG